rnacentral:sRNA from 1 species
UCUGCACAGAGCUGAUACCUCAUGUUCUUUGGCCAUAAACUGAAGCCUCACUCUACUUUCAUCCUCAGGUUCUUUGAUUUUCUUUACUUCUGAAAAGUCAGAUGCACUCUUUAAUGUGGUAGAACCACAUCAUAACCACUGUGAACGAUGGCUCAAUAUAAUUCUCUAUUGCUCUAUCUCAGCUGUUCCUCACUUAUUCAUCAUUGCUGAUAGCUAACCUACAGCACGAAGUACAAUUCAAGGGCUUUGUGAUAUUGAAGGACAACAUGGAUAGGACGGUACAGAUGACAGAAAAGAAAGAACCAGAAGCCACAGAGAUGAAAUUCCGCCAGAACGAUUUCCAAUGAAAGACGAGAACAAACGAGACGCAGUAUUGGGUGAUAUAAUUGGUGAUCGUCGAUUUCGUUUGAUGCCUGAUAGACCCCUUCUCCCGAAUUAAUCGAUGAUUUCUCCGCUAGUCUUGUGACCGACCGUCCAGUCCAGGUGGUCUGGAACCAGCUUGUGGCAUCUCGGGCAUUCGGAGCCAGACUUUCUGUCUGACUUCGUAGCCAACGUCGUACACCGUGUGGGUAUUUCGGCACAUCUUUACGAUUAUUCUGUCCACCAGUAUUGAAUCUUACCUAGAAUAUCUAUGUCGAGAUAUGUGAAGGUAUCCAACGUAUCAAAAUAGAGAUUGAUGGCUGAAGAGGCGUGAUAGAAAAGGUUCUGAAUGAAAGCGUCCCGGCGAAGUGAAACGAAUAUUCGAAAUAUUUUUGAUGCCUGCUCAAACGAGAUAUAGACGACGGGAGUCCGACGCUAUUUAUUGAAGCAACUUGUUGACUCGGUUUCUACCCAUGAGUUCUCUUCGACAAAUUAUGAAACAAUGCCGCAGUGACCACUAAGACCUGUGCCGCUUGAAAUGAGGGGGAAGGUUCCGAAUAAGAGAAAAGGAAAAUGCCUCCAGGAGGCAGUUUCCGCAGACGCCGUUAUCAGGCCCGGCUGUAUACAUACUACUCUUGGGAGUUGGGUAUCAUGUGGAAACAAACAAAGAGUUGUAACAAGGCGAUUGUGAGAUAAAGCAGGAUGAAUAAAGAGAAGCAUUGUCUGUUUCAAACCCUUACUUUCUACCAUCACUGAAGCGAAUAGCAUAGAUAAAUACAGAGCGCAUGUCUCCCUGGUAUUGAGAAGCAAUGUAGGAAGCGAGCAGACAUAGGCAUAACAUAACACCUUGUCCAGGUUGUCUGAAGCGUUCUCUGUCCUUCGUCCAUGAAUUGAGAUCAGAUAGCCGGACUGACAACGACAUUGCAACCCAAUAGGACAAAUAGCCAGGCUCAAAGGGAUGAUAAAUAUUGGGAGUUUGGGGGGGACUCAUUCCACUAAUGUGAGAUCCCGGGCUGCUGGCUAUACUGCUAAUGUGCUUCAUGACCAAGCGAUUUCCAGUCUAUAAGAGCAUGCUGCAUGCCCUGUGAACGCAGCAAAAUUCCAGAGAAGGAAACCCGCUACGUAAGGCUGAUCCCUGUAUAAGCGGGGUGGUGGAUAGAAACAUCCUUCAACAUCUUUGUUUAAAAAUAUGAUUUGAUUGAAUAGAAAUAUAACG